CCAGCCGAGCCAUGUUGGUCUGGCUCUCCGAGAGCAGCUGUGUGACACAUGGAGGGGCACAGAAUUGUGGCUAAAUUGGGGCCAGGGUCCAGGUAAGCACCUAUUGCCACCAGAGAGGAGAAAUCCCCAAACCUGGGUGCAUUGGUGCUGCCACCCCAUGGGAUAAAGAGCAUCUCUCGGCAAAGGACAGGAUGACGGAGGCGGCAGGAAUAGCCGUGUCCUGAGGCAGCUGCCAGCUCUUCAUCGUCCCCUGAGGUGACCCAGGCUGGGAGAGUGACACGGGGUGGCCGUGGCACGGCAGGAGGAUGAGGAGCGAAGUGGAGCACCGAGAAACAAGCAGCUCUGGACAGAGGCAGCUGAGUACCAGGAGGUACUGGAGCAUCCAGCCAUGCCUGGAUCUUGCUGCACCACCUGGCAGACCCCUGGCAUACUCAGGGCGCUGAGCUCCUGCCCCAUGGCGCUGUGCCCCUUCUUGAGGCCGUCGCAGUCGGCGCGCAGCUGCACGGCGUGGGUCAGCAGCUUGGCCACCUCAUCUGCCACUGUGACCAGCAGGGCCUUCUGCUGGCUCUUGGUGGCCUUGGCCUCGGCAUCGUGGUCGGUGACGGCGCGCAGCAGGGAGGUCUGCAGCCCCUCCAUGCGGCCCAGCGUGCCGGCAGCGCUGGGGCAGUUGGGGUCGAUGAAGAUGUUGAUGCGGGAGCUGUCGGCUUUCUCGAUGGUCACCAGCGCGUUGGCUUCCUCGGGGUUGGUGCUGAUCACGGGGGGCGACUCGGUGACGGGCGUGUGGUAGUGGUUCAUGAAGAGGAUGGCCCCCGUGACUGUCACCGCCAGGAGGACGGCCACCGACAGCAGGACGGUGCACAGGAUGUACCCACAGCUCAUCCUCUGUAGGCAGAGACACAGACACACCAUCAGCACCCCUCUGGACAGACACAUCCCGCGCCCCUUCAUCCCAGAGAGCCUGCCUGCGACCGCUCCCACGGCACGCCACACUCUGCGGAUCGGGAAGAGGAGAGAAGGGAAGGAUGGCGAGCGCGCUGGAGCCGGCUCUGUGGGCUCGCCGGAGAUUCGCUGUCCUCCAGCUCUUCCCAGACACGUUUGCCCAUACUCCGCGCUCCUUCUUCCCACCCUGCCUGCACUCAGCGUGCAGCCAUGCCUGUGCCUAUCCCUAGAAGUGUCCAAAGCCAGGCUGGAUGGGGAUUUGAGCAACCUGGUCUAGUGGAAGGUGUCCCUGCCCAUGGCAGGGGGGUUGGAACUGGGUGAUCUUUAACGUCCCUUCCAAGCCGAACCAUGCUGGGCUUCCCGGACUCCCUACCUGCUCGGCCGUGCUCGGUGGCUGGUGGCCGGCCACGCCGGGCUGGCGGAGCUGGCACACGUGCAGCGGGAUGUGCAAACAGGCUCCGGCACGUGCCGGAUCCCCCGCGUGUCACCGCAGGCUCUGCCGCCGCUCCACCGCACCCCGCCGCAGCGCCGGCCUCCCCCCAAAAACCAGCGGGGCUCCUGGAGGUUAAGAGCGGGUCGGGCGGCCGGGAGCCCCCGAACCGGGAGGGAUGACUCCGGCUGCGGCGCGGAGCUGAGAUGCCAAAUCCCUUUUAAAGGGUUAUUUAAGCAGUUCAGAGCAUGUAGCGGUUCAGCAGAGGCGUGUGGCAGCCCCGGAGCAUCGCCCGCUGCCCGGCCGGGGCAGCCCCGGGGCUGGGAGGGAGCCCUGGCUCCAGGUUAAUAAACACAUUGAUUGGAGGGGGUGAGGAGGUGCAGCCCGGGGGGCUUCGCACGGGGGGGACUGGGGUGCAGCUCGCCACGCUGGGGUGCGCCGGGAGAAAAGCUCGCUGGGGACGCUGGGGGGUCGCUGAGACCCCCGGGCUGGCUGACCCCCCCUUGCCCCCGCCGCCCCCCGCCCCGUACCUGUGAU